rnacentral:rRNA from 1 species
GUGACUGCGUACCUUUUGUAUAAUGGGUCAGCGACUUAUAUUCUGUAGCAAGGUUAACCGUAUAGGGGAGCCGAAGGGAAACCGAGUCUUAACUGGGCGUUAAGUUGCAGGGUAUAGACCCGAAACCCGGUGAUCUAGCCAUGGGCAGGUUGAAGGUUGGGUAACACUAACUGGAGGACCGAACCGACUAAUGUUGAAAAAUUAGCGGAUGACUUGUGGCUGGGGGUGAAAGGCCAAUCAAACCGGGAGAUAGCUGGUUCUCCCCGAAAGCUAUUUAGGUAGCGCCUCGUGAACUCAUCUUCGGGGGUAGAGCACUGUUUCGGCUAGGGGGUCAUCCCGACUUACCAACCCGAUGCAAACUGCGAAUACCGAAGAAUGUUAUCACGGGAGACACACGGCGGGUGCUAACGUCCGUCGUGAAGAGGGAAACAACCCAGACCGCCAGCUAAGGUCCCAAAGUCACAGUUAAGUGGGAAACGAUGUGGGAAGGCUCAGACAGCCAGGAUGUUGGCUUAGAAGCAGCCAUCAUUUAAAGAAAGCGUAAUAGCUCACUGGUCGAGUCGGCCUGCGCGGAAGAUGUAACGGGGCUAAACUGUGCACCGAAGCUGCGGCAGCGACGCUUAUGCGUUGUUGGGUAGGGGAGCGUUCUGUAAGCCUGCGAAGGUGUCCUGUGAGGGAUGCUGGAGGUAUCAGAAGUGCGAAUGCUGACAUAAGUAACGAUAAUGCGGGUGAAAAGCCCGCUCGCCGGAAGACCAAGGGUUCCUGUCCAACGUUAAUCGGGGCAGGGUGAGUCGACCCCUAAGGCGAGGCCGAAAGGCGUAGUCGAUGGGAAACGGGUUAAUAUUCCCGUACUUGGUGUUACUGCGAAGGGGGGACGGAGAAGGCUAUGUUGGCCGGGCGACGGUUGUCCCGGUUUAAGCGUGUAGGCUGGUUUUCCAGGCAAAUCCGGAAAAUCAAGGCUGAGGCGUGAUGACGAGGCACUACGGUGCUGAAGCAACAAAUGCCCUGCUUCCAGGAAAAGCCUCU